rnacentral:rRNA from 1 species
UACGUAAGGGGGCUAGCGUUGCUCGGAAUCACUGGGCGUAAAGGGUGCGUAGGCGGGUCUUAAGUCAGGGGUGAAAUCCUGGAGCUCAACUCCAGAACUGCCUUUGAUACUGAGGAUCUUGAGUUCGGGAGAGGUGAGUGGAACUGCGAGUGUAGAGGUGAAAUUCGUAGAUAUUCGCAAGAACACCAGUGGCGAAGGCGGCUCACUGGCCCGAUACUGACGCUGAGGCACGAAAGCGUGGGGAGCAAACAGGGAUUAAGAAACC